UACGGAGGAUGCGAACGUUAUCCGGAUUUAUUGGGUUUAAAGGGUGCGUAGGCGGAUCGUUAAGUCAGUGGUCAAAUUGAGGGGCUCAACCCCUUCCCGCCAUUGAAACUGGCGCUCUUGAGUGGAAGAGAAGUAUGCGGAAUGCGUGGUGUAGCGGUGAAAUGCAUAGAUAUCACGCGGAACCCCGAUUGCGAAGGCAGCAUGCCGGCUUCCGACUGACGCUGAAGCACGAAAGCGUGGGGAUCGAACAGG
rnacentral:rRNA from 1 species